rnacentral:rRNA from 1 species
AUGGCUCAGGAUGAACGCUAGCUACAGGCUUAACACAUGCAAGUCAGGGGCAGCAUGUGGUUGCUUGCAACCAAUGAUGGCGACCGGCGCACGGGUGAGUAACGCGUAUCCAACCUCCCCUUAGUAGAGGAUAGCCCGGCGAAAGUCGGAUUAAUACUCUAUGUUCUUCAAUGCGGGCAUCUAAGUUGAAGCAAAGAUUUAUCGCUAAGGGAUGGGGAUGCGUCUGAUUAGGUUGCAGGCGGGGUAACGGCCCACCUGGCCUACGAUCAGUAGGGGUUCUGAGAGGAAGGUCCCCCACACUGGUACUGAGACACGGACCAGACUCCUACGGGAGGCAGCAGUGAGGAAUAUUGGUCAAUGGGCGCGAGCCUGAACCAGCCAAGUAGCGUGCAAGGACGACUGCCCUAUGGGUUGUAAACUGCUUUUAUCAGGGAAUAAAGUGAGGCACGCGUGCCUUUUUGUAUGUACCUGAUGAAUAAGGACCGGCUAAUUCCGUGCCAGCCGCCGC